ACUUCAAACUUCCCUCUCCAUUAUAUGAUUCUCCACUCCAGAUCUGUUUUUAUAAAGCAGCACAAAACCGAUAAGAAGGUUUGUGCAUCAAAACCCAAUAUCUACUGUCCAAUCUACUCUCAAAACAUUUCUGCAAUACACUACAUGUGAAACUUCCUUCUCCAAUAUUUGAUUCUCUAUGCCAUGAACUGUUUUUAUGAAGAGGCACAUAACCGAUAAAAAGGUUUGCGCAUCAAAACCCAAUAUCUACGGUCCACUACUAUCAAAAGAUUUCUGCAAUACGCUACACUUCAAACUUCCCUCUCCAUUAUAUGAUUCUAAGCUCCAUGAUCUGUUUUUAUGAAGCGGCACAAAAACCAAUAAAAAGGUUUGUGCAUCAAAAUCCAAUAUCUACUGUCCACUACUCUCAAAAGAUUUCUGCAAUACGCUACUUCAAACUUCCCUCUCCAUUAUGAUUCUCCACUCCAUGAUCUGUUUUUAUGAAGUGGCACAAAACCAAUAAAAAGGUUUGUGCAUCAAAAUCCAAUAUCUAGUGUCCACUACAAUCAAAAGAUUUCUGCAAUAGCUACACUUCAAACUUCCUCCAUAUCCAUUAUGAUUCUCCGCUCCAUGAACUGUUUUUAUGAAGCUGCGCAAAACUGAUAAAAAGAUUUCUGCAAUAUGCUACACUUCAAACUUCCUUCUCCAUUAUGAUUCUCUGCUCCAUGAACUUUUUAUGAAGCAGCACAAAACUGAUAAAAAGUUUUGUGCAGCAUAGCUCAACUACUGUCCUCUACUCUCAAAAGCUACGGUUGAAACUUCCUCCUUAUCAAUUAUAUGAUUCUCCACUCUAUGAAGAAGUGCACAACCGAUAAAAAAAGUGAAUACAAAACCAUUGUCAACUACCAAUUCAGAAAAUCUCACAGCAAAACUCUAAACUGAUGCAGGCAGUCAAUAGUCAAAGAUAUCACAAAUGCAUAACCACAAAAGUAACACAAUUAUAUAUGAAAUGUUGGAUGGAUGGCUUGUAUUAUAUUUAGUCUAUGUACAGCAAAUUUCGAUAUGUGCCAGCCAAAGGAGGAUGGCUUGCCCCUGCUGAGUCUGGUUCCUCCCAAGGUUUCUCCCUAUACCUCUCUGCUGAUGAUGCUCCUCUUCACUAAUUUAGGGAGUUUUUCCUUGCCACUGUUGCCUUCUGGCUUGCUCACUGGGGUAUUAAUAUUUUCAAUGUAAACUGUGUAAAGUGUUUGUAAAGAAUA